rnacentral:snoRNA from 1 species
UGCUUUCAAAAAUGGAUAUGAGGUAUGCUGUGGACAUGGGCAUAAGAAAAUUCCUGCUGGGUUUUCUAUCUGCUACAUUGCUAGCAAUCUAUUGUGAACAUUU